CCUACGGGUGGCAGCAGUGAGGAAUAUUGGUCAAUGGACGAGAGUCUGAACCAGCCAAGUAGCGUGAAGGAUGACUGCCCUAUGGGUUGUAAACUUCUUUUAUAUGGGAAUAAACCAGGGUAUGCAUACCCUCUUGUAUGUACCAUAUGAAUAAGGAUCGGCUAACUCCGUGCAAGCAGCAGCGGUAAUACGGAGGAUCCGAUCGUUAUCCGGUUUUAUUGGGAUUAAAGGGAGCGUAGGUGGAUUGUUAAGUCAGUUGUGAAAGGUUGCGGCUCAACCGUAAAAUUGCAGUUGAAACUGGCAGUCUGGAGUACAGUAGAGGUGGGCGGAAUUCGUGGUGUAGCGGUGAAAUGCUUAGAUAUCACGAAGAACUCCGAUUGCGAAGGCAGCUCACUGGACUGCAACUGACACUGAUGCUCGAAAGUGUGGGUAUCAAACAGGAUUAGAUACCCGGGUAGUC
rnacentral:rRNA from 1 species